GUUUUAUCACUCUGAGACAUUGGUGAGAUCCAGUUUCUGGUCCUACAUGGUUGUGUGCCAGCGACCCCAGAUAGUGAGUAAUUUUCUGAGAUAUCCCUUUGGACACCCAGGGUUAUCUACUUAGUCUAAUGAGACUGUCCCAAGUUUCUAUCUCAGAAAAUUGAGAGAAUUGGCUGAAUGGCAUCAUUCUGAGUUGCUAUUGCAAAUGUUGCUGCUCUUGGUGUUACAUCUGAAACCUAGAUUCAGCUGAAGGGCCCACGUAAGAGCUUAAAGAUGGUUAGAGGUGAUCUCUGACUCCCCUAAUUAUGCAGCACCAUAUGGCAGUGACAGCACCUUCUGCAAGAAGAGAAACUCUAAACCAAUUACAACAAUAUCAUUUCUGUGUUGAACCAUAAGUCAUUGGAAACCCACUGCAACCAUGCUUCCAUAAUAGCAGAUGGAAUUUCCAAUUCUAUAAAGAAAAGGAAUGUUGAAGUAACAUACAUGUAGCUUUGAGGAGGAGGCAGGUACAUUCAAGCUCAUGGAGAGGAUUGACAGCCACAGAUAGGUACUCAUAAGAACUGAAUGUAAAUCAUCAAACAGAACAUACUCAGGAGGCACUGUCU